rnacentral:rRNA from 1 species
AGUGAAUAGAUACCCGGGUAGUCCACGCUGUAAACGAUGAACACUAGGCUUAGUGGGUAUUGACCCCGCUGAGCCGGAGCUAAACGCGAUAAGUGUUCCGCCUGGGAAGUACGGUCGCAAGACUAAAACUCAAAGGAAUUGACGGGGGCCCGGCACAAGCGGUGGAUCAUGUGGUUUAAAAUUCGAAGCAACGCGAAAAACCUUAACCUAGGUUUGUACAUCUCCGGCUACCUGCAGAAAUGUAGGGUUCGUAGCAAUACGACCGGAAGACAGGUGCUGCAUGGCUGUCGUCAGCUCGUGUGGUGACAUGUUGGGUUAAGUCCCGCAACGAGCGCAACCCCUGCUUCUAGUUGCCAGCAUUCAGUUGGGCACUCUAGAGGGACUGCCGUGGUUAACACGGAGGAAGGUGGGGAUGACGUCAAGUCCUCAUGGCCUUUAUAUCUAGGGCGACACACGUGAUACAAUGGACGGUACAGAGGGUAAGCCAAAGCGCGAGCUGGAGCCAAUCUCAAAAACGCCGUUCUCAGUUCGGAUUGGAGUCUGC